rnacentral:rRNA from 1 species
GACGAACGCUGGCGGCGUGCUUAACACAUGCAAGUCGAACGGAAAGGCCCUGCUUGCAGGGUACUCGAGUGGCGAACGGGUGAGUAACACGUGGGUGAUCUGCCCUGCACUUCGGGAUAAGCCUGGGAAACUGGGUCUAAUACCGGAUAGGAGCCAUUUUUAGUGUGAUGGCUGGAAAGUUUUUUCGGUGUAGGAUGAGCUCGCGGCCUAUCAGCUUGUUGGUGGGGUAAUGGCCUACCAAGGCGGCGACGGGUAGCCGGCCUGAGAGGGUGGACGGCCACAUUGGGACUGAGAUACGGCCCAGACUCCUACGGGAGGCAGCAGUGGGGAAUAUUGCACAAUGGGCGCAAGCCUGAUGCAGCGACGCCGCGUGGGGGAUGACGGCCUUCGGGUUGUAAACUCCUUUCGCUAGGGACGAAGCUUUUUGUGACGGUACCUAGAUAAGAAGCACCGGCUAACUACGUG